rnacentral:rRNA from 1 species
UAGUUUGAUCAUGGCUCAGGAAAGUCGUAACAAGGUAGCCGUAGAGUUUGAUCAUGGCUCAGGAAAGGUAGUAA